rnacentral:rRNA from 1 species
CAGAGGGGGCAAGCGUUGUUCGGAAUUACUGGGCGUAAAGGGCGCGUAGGCGGCCUGUUAAGUCGAACGUGAAAUCCCCGGGCUCAACCCGGGAACUGCGUCCGAUACUGGCAGGCUUGAAUCCGGGAGAGGGAUGUGGAAUUCCAGGUGUAGCGGUGAAAUGCGUAGAUAUCUGGAGGAACACCGGUGGCGAAGGCGGCAUCCUGGACCGGUAUUGACGCUGAGGCGCGAAGGCCAGGGGAGCAAACGGGAUUAGAUACCCCGGUAGUCCUGGCCCUAAACGAUGAAUGCUUGGUGUGGCGGGUAUCGAUCCCUGCCGUGCCGAAGCUAACGCAUUAAGCAUUCCGCCUGGGGAGUACGGUCGCAAGGCUG